rnacentral:pre_miRNA from 1 species
GGGUGGAGGCCGGAUUCUGGGCUGUGUCCCAGCUCCCUGUGCUCCUGGGACUACACUGUUGGAUUCGUGCUCCUGGCCGUGCAGCCCCCC